GCUGGGCGUAGCGGCGUGCGCCUGUAAUCCAGCAACUUGGAGGCCGGGUGGUUGAAACUGCCGUCGCUGGGAGCUCCAACCUGCGUGCGCGCAUGUGGAUCGGGCGUCCGUGCUAAGCGCGGCGUCGAUAUGGGGAUCCUGUCGGAAGGCAUUUGUCUCCAGGUUGCUUAACGAGGGGUGUAAUGGGUCAGGGGGAAACUCAGCAGCCAAAAGCCCCCACGUGGUGCAGUAGCAGGAUCGCGCCCGUGAAUGGCGUGCGUUGGGUGGCCCAGAAAGCGCGUGGUGACUUCCACCUAU
rnacentral:SRP_RNA from 1 species